CCCUUGCUGAUAAUUACUAACGCGUGAUGGCGAGGACUUUAUUGGGACUGCCGGGGACAACUCGGAGGAAGGUGGGGACGACGUCAAAUCAUCAUGCCCCUUAUGACCUGGGCUACACACGUGCUACAAUGGCCGAGACAGAGAGAAGCGAGGGCGCAAGCCGGAGCGGAUCUGCCAAAAGCGGUCACAGUUCAGAUUGUGGGCUGCAACCCGCCCACAUGAAGCAGGAGUUGCUAGUAAUCGCGGAUCAGCAUGCCGCGGUGAAUACGUUCCCGGGCCUUGUACACACCGCCCGUCACACCAUGGGAGUUGGGAGCACCCGAAGGCAGAGAGGUAACCGCAAGGGGCCAUCUGACGAAGGUGAGACCAAUGACUGGGGUGAAGUCGUAACAAGGUAACC
rnacentral:rRNA from 1 species